GGAGGGGAACCGGUAGUUUUUAAGACAUGAGGUAUCAAAACAAGCACAAGCAUGGCCGAUAAAGGAAAGUCUCCUGAGGAAAUUGUGGCCGGCUUUAAUGCCCUUCGCAAUGAACAGCGGCGGCUUGCCCUCAAAAUAUCGGAGAUGGAAGUUGACCAGAACGAACACAAGAUCGUGGUAGACGCCCUGGGGAAGAUUGAAGAUGAUCGAAAAUGUUUCCGCCUAAUCAACGGCGUGCUGGUCGAACGCACCGUCAAAGAAGUGCGUCCGCAGCUUCUGCAGAGUCUGGAGCAGCUUGGCGAAGCCAUCCGGUUGCACAACGAGGCGUUGACACGUAAAGGAACUGAAUUGAACGACUAUAAAGAAAAAUACAACAUCAGAGUGAGGAACGCCGGAGACGAAGAGCAGGAGAAACAAGAAGCGCCGAAAGCGCCCCAGCAAGCUGGUGUUCUUGUCAACUGAUCCCUUUGAAGUGACUUUUCACCGUGAUACGUUAUUAUCCAAAAUGCACGUGCAGAUACCUGCCGCCUUCGACUGACUGCAAUGCGACGUCUCUACUGGCCAAUGGCAGUUGGAUCUAUUUUCUCUCGCGAAUUUACUGUUACACAAAAAUAUAAAACAUUUAAAUAGCCAA